AGACAACGCUGCGGCGUGCCUAACACAAUGCAAGUCGAACGAAGACUUGAAAUUCUAGAUUUACUUUCGGAAUGAAGAAAUGAUAUGACUGAGUGGCGGACGGGUGAGUAACGCGUGAGCAACCUGCCUUCGAGGGGGAGUAGUGUCUGAAACGGACAGUAAUACCGCAUAACGUAUUUUUACCGUCAUGAUAGAAAUACCAAAACUGAGGUGCCGAAGGAUGGGCUCGCGUUGGAUUAGAUAGUUGGUGGGGUAACGGCCUACCAAGUCAACGAUCCAUAGCCGGACUGAGAGGUUGAACGGCCACAUUGGGACUGAGACACGGCCCAGACUCCUACGGGAGGCAGCAGUGGGGAAUAUUGCACAAUGGGGGAAACCCUGAUGCAGCAACGCCGCGUGAAGGAAGACGGUUUUCGGAUUGUAAACUUCUGUUCUUAGUGAAGAAAAAUGACGGUAGCUAAGGAGCAAGCCACGGCUAACUAUGUG
rnacentral:rRNA from 1 species